GACGAACGCUGGCGGCGUGCCUAAUACAUGCAAGUCGAACGCUGAAGGAGGAGCUUGCUUCUCUGGAUGAGUUGCGAACGGGUGAGUAACGCGUAGGUAACCUGCCUGGUAGCGGGGGAUAACUAUUGGAAACGAUAGCUAAUACCGCAUAAGAGUAGAUGUUGCAUGACAUUUACUUAAAAGGUGCAAUUGCAUCACUACCAGAUGGACCUGCGUUGUAUUAGCUAGUUGGUGAGGUAACGGCUCACCAAGGCAACGAUACAUAGCCGACCUGAGAGGGGGAUCGGCCACACUGGGACUGAGACACGGCCCAGACUCCUACGGGAGGCAGCAGUAGGGAAUCUUCGGCAAUGGACGGAAGUCUGACCGAGCAACGCCGCGUGAGUGAAGAAGGUUUUCGGAUCGUAAAGCUCUGUUGUAAGAGAAGAACGAGUGUGAGAGUGGAAAGUUCACACUGUGACGGUAUCUUACCAGAAAGGGACGGCUAACUACGUG
rnacentral:rRNA from 1 species